UAGGAAAAGAGAUUUGUUGCCUUGAAUUAGAUUGCAAGAAUAAUGUAUCUGAAUCUGAUGAUUGCUGUAGCAUCCCUGGAAUCAAAUCUUAUAUCAUAUUUUCGGGUAAUCUUGUUAUGUACUGCUACGAGUGCAAGUAGAUGAGAGAUCAAGAAGUUCUGAGAAGGAAAGACUCUGUACUUUCAAUAAAUAAAUAAUUACAUAAUUUAAUCUUAACUAUUUCAGAUCUGAUAAUAAAAGUUACAUAAAACCAAA